rnacentral:rRNA from 1 species
GAUGAACGCUGGCGGCGUGCCUAAUACAUGCAAGUCGAGCGAACAGACGAGGAGCUUGCUCCUCUGACGUUAGCGGCGGACGGGUGAGUAACACGUGGAUAACCUACCUAUAAGACUGGGAUAACUUCGGGAAACCGGAGCUAAUACCGGAUAAUAUAUUGAACCGCAUGGUUCAAUAGUGAAAGACGGUUUUGCUGUCACUUAUAGAUGGAUCCGCGCCGCAUUAGCUAGUUGGUAAGGUAACGGCUUACCAAGGCGACGAUGCGUAGCCGACCUGAGAGGGUGAUCGGCCACACUGGAACUGAGACACGGUCCAGACUCCUACGGGAGGCAGCAGUAGGGAAUCUUCCGCAAUGGGCGAAAGCCUGACGGAGCAACGCCGCGGGAGUGAUGAAGGUCUUCGGAUCGUAAAACUCUGUUAUUAGGGAAGAACAAAUGUGUAAGUAACUAUGCACGUCUUGACGGUACCUAAGCAGAAAGCCACGGCUAACUACGU